CUAUAUACCGCCGUCGCCAGCUUACCCUGUGAAGGUUUAACAGUAAGCAAAAUGGGUUCAACCCAGAACGUCAGGUCGAGGUGUAGCGCAUGGAGUGGGAAGAAAUGGGCUACAUU
rnacentral:rRNA from 1 species